CAAAGGCACAGCCUGGCCUCUCGGCAGCCGCAGGGUCCUCUGGGGCCUGCGGUGUUUUUUAGGGAUGGCUCCAUGCCGGAAACUUGUUUUCCAGGUCCGGGGAAGAUCUCUCCCAGAAAGAUUGUCUCAGCUGAAAACUAAGGCAAAGUUUGGUCCCUCCCCUUCGGGGAGAGCCCGGCAGUCGCUCUGCCCGCGAGAAAGACGUCCUCCUGCGGGAACAGCCGCCUCUCGCCAAGCUCCAGAGGGCUGUGGACGGCCAAAGGGUCCAUCCUGCUCCUCCAGCCAGCGGGACAGGAGCGGAGGGUGGCCGGGACACCACACACCAGGUUUGUCGGUGAAGGCGCCGAUGGAAAUGGGGAGCAACAGCACUGAGAAGUUUUACAGGAUCCCCGAAGGGAAGGGACCGCACUCAGUGGGAUGCACAGACCUGAUGACGGACAACGCGGUUGAGGGAAGCUUCUUGCGCCUCUAUUAUCCGUCGUGCGAUGCCACAGAUAACGAAGAGGCACCAUGGAUUCCAGAUAAAGAGUACUACCAGGGGCUCUCCGACUUCCUUAACAUGUACCGAAUUGUAGGACAAAGGCUUUUCCAGUACUACGUUGGUUCAGUGACCUGUCCUGCAAAGUCAAAUGCUGCUUUUAAACCCGGCGAAAAAUACCCACUCCUCGUUUUUUCCCAUGGACUUGGAGCUUUUCGGACAAUCUACUCUGCUAUUUGUGUAGAGAUGGCUUCUCAGGGCUUCAUCGUGGCUGCUGUGGAGCACAGAGACGAAUCUGCUUCAGCAACGUAUUAUUGUAAAAAAAGGUCCGUUUCUGAAUCGCAGGAAGAGUCUACGUCGAACAUGGAGAAGGAGUGGAUCUACUACAGGAAACUAAAAACUGGAGAGGAAGAGCGCUUCUUGCGCCAUAAGCAGGUGCAGCAAAGAGCGCAGGAGUGUAUCAAAGCUCUCAAUCUCAUUCUUAAAAUCAAUUCAGGAGAGGAAGUGAUGAAUGUACUAAAUUCAAACUUUGACUGGAAUAGCCUAAAAGAUUCUGUUGAUACUAGCAGAAUAGCUGUGAUGGGACACUCUUUUGGUGGUGCUACAGUUAUUGAGAGUCUCAGCAAAGAAAUAAGAUUCAGGUGUGGCAUUGCCCUCGAUGCAUGGAUGCUUCCAGUAGGUGAUGACAUUUACCAAAACAGCGUCCAGCAACCGCUGCUUUUUAUCAACUCUGAAAAAUUCCAGUGGGCUGAUAAUAUCUUAAAGAUGAAGAAACUCAGCUCCAACGAUGCAAACAAGAAAAUGAUCACUAUCAAGGGGUCAGUGCAUCAGAGCUUUCCUGACUUCACCUUUGUGAGCGGAGGACUCAUUGGAAGAUUCUUCAAAUUAAAAGGAGAAAUAGAUCCAAAUGAAGCUAUUGAUAUCAGCAAUCAUGCUUCAUUAGCCUUCCUGCAGAAACACUUGAAUCUCAAGAAAGAUUUCGAUAAGUGGGAUUCUCUUGUGGAUGGCAUAGGACCCAAUGUUAUUCCUGGAACCAAUAUUGACUUAUCUCCAGCUGAACCUGAAUAAAGAAUACAAAAAAGUACUGAAAAUGCCACAGACAUCAGGACACUAAUGUUGGCCAGACAUUGCUCCGACACGUGAUAGUAUUGGCCACCUACACAGCUUUUGGGGUGUGGAACAAGAAAAUAAAGAUAAGACAUUAGGUUACAUUAUCUUGAAAAUAUAGAGAGGUUUUAGUUCAAAUGAAUUUGUGGGAUUCUUUGAAAUACUGCAACAGGGUAACUUCUGCUUUGGAGGCAGCUGGGGGGAAAAAAAAAUCACUGGAUGGCAAUUUAAAUGCUUUUUCUGGUUUUGACUUAAAAUCAAGUUUGCAGAGAGAUUAAGCUGCAAGGAAUUCAACUAAAAUUCUGCUUACCAAGCUUGAAGUCAGUUCACAUCCAGCAAGCUUUUUUUGCAGUGUAAGAAAAAAAAUAUAUCUUUAAGUUGUUACUAAACUACCUAGUAUUUCAGCUGUGCUCUGACAACAGCUGAGAGUUGGAGCAGGUUUUUGCUCCUUCUAGUCAGAGAGGUGCCAGCAGAAGGUGGUCUUCAAAACUGUCUUAUUUUAAUAAAAGUCACAGUGAAAGCCACAGGAAAUAGUUUAAGAUAACAGCUGAGAAAAGUGUUUGUUCAGACACAGGACUUCUCAUAUGAACUUAAUCCACUUAACAUUUAAGAUCUGUGUUUAUUGCCAUACUCAGAGGAUGUUUCCAUUCCAAAAGCUGCUGAAAUGAUCACUCUUGUUGUAGUAACUGUAAUUCCCCUUCGGCAAAGCUCCAAGUAGCACCUCUGGUUAAUCUCUCUAUUACCACUAUCACUCAGUCCUACUGUUAUAGGUGAAAUCACAGAAAUGAUGUGUCACUUCUACCACUCCUUUUAAAAAGGACUAUGGAAGCAUUGCUCAAUCAUCUUGAUGUCUCUCAUGGUGUUCAGACUCUCAUCUUUGUCCAGAUACACUGCUGUCUGUAUCUGUCAGUAGAAGCAGCUGACUAUGUGGAUGGUUAAAGAAGGUUCUGAUUUUUAGAACAAAACUCUUCGAAGCUGCCACACGGAAGGGUGACUUCUAACUGAAUCAGCCUCGCAGAAGCGGGACUACUUCUAACUGUAGCCUGUUUGUUUCAAAAUCAGGUUACAAACAAAACUGAAGCAAGUGGAACAAGCAAAGCAGUUAACAGUGUAAUUAAGUAUUUAUAUUAUAUGUGAUCUUAACCUGAGAUUGCAACAACACCCAAGACAUGUUUUUCAGAAUUGAAUUAAAUUCUAUCCAGCCUA